rnacentral:rRNA from 1 species
AUUGAACGCUGGCGGCAUGCCUUACACAUGCAAGUCGAACGGCAGCAUGGAAGAGCUUGCUCUUCUGAUGGCGAGUGGCGAACGGGUGAGUAAAGCAUCGGAACGUACCGUGUAAUGGGGGAUAACGUAGCGAAAGUUACGCUAAUACCGCAUACGACCUGAGGGUGAAAGCAGGGGAUGGCAAGACCUUGCGUUAUACGAGCGGCCGAUGUCAGAUUAGCUAGUUGGUGAGGUAAAGGCUCACCAAGGCGACGAUCUGUAGCGGGUCUGAGAGGAUGAUCCGCCACACUGGGACUGAGACACGGCCCAGACUCCUACGGGAGGCAGCAGUGGGGAAUUUUGGACAAUGGGGGCAACCCUGAUCCAGCCAUACCGCGUGAGUGAAGAAGGCCUUCGGGUUGUAAAGCUCUUUCGGCCGGGAAGAAAUCGCACAGGCUAAUACUCUGUGUGGAUGACGGUACCGGCAUAAGAAGCACCGGCUAACUACGUGCCAGCCGCCGCAGUAA